AAAGGAAGGCUCUAGCCAGCGUGCACACGGCUGAGCCUGGACUCCGAGGCUGGCCUUUCCUUGCUCCGCCUGCUGGGAACGAGUGUGAAGGUGACCUGAAUGGGAUUUAGAGAACCCUGAAGUGUCUACAACUGCACAUAAAAUUGAAGCCCACCCUCCAAGCCUGUUCACUCCCCCGGCCCCCAGCCCACCACCUCCCUUUCUUUCUAGAAGAAACCACAACUCGGAAUUUGGCCCCCUCCCUAAUCCCGAAGGACACCUGCUUCUGGUCAGCCGCCUCCAGCUCCCCAGGCCAACAGCCUCCAUCGGGGCUCACCUGGAGCCUUCCCAUCUCCACUCUGAAGCUUCCCAGCCCCUUGCCUGCCUUGGAGGCUCUGCCAGGCAGGCCAUGGCGGCCGGCUCUCUUGCUACAGCAAGCUCUGACCUUUUUCCUCCGUCUUUUAUGCGAGGAACCGGCCGCAGGAAGACAAAGUCCACUUGUCAGCAAUAUUCUGGGCCCUUGGAAGAAGAUGCUGCUGGGAGAUGGUCGAAGGCCCGCGGUGUUGACUCCGAAGCAAGGCUGUUGACCGCGUGUGGCCGCUCCCCAUCGUCUGCAUCAUCGUCUGCGCUCCACAUCCUGUCAGAUCAGCGGCAGCGUGAGAUUCUCAUGGGAGCGUGAGCCCUAUUGUGAACUGUGCGUGAGGGAUCUAGGCUGCUCGCUCCUCAUGAGAAUCUAAUGCCUGAUGAUCGGUCAC